UUAAUAGAAGCUAUGCAACCAGCAUCCGACUGUUAAUCGGAAAGAAGUAAUUUUCACUUACCUAUUAAU
rnacentral:tRNA from 1 species